rnacentral:rRNA from 1 species
AUUGAACGCUGGCGGUAUGCCUAACACAUGCAAGUCGAACGGCAGCACAGUAAGAGCUUGCUCUUACUGGUGGCGAGUGGCGUACGGGUUAGGAAUACACCCGAAUCUAGUUUUUCACUGGUGAUAACGGAGGGUAAUUUACCCUACUACCUCAUACUACCUACGGGUGAAAGCAGGGGAUCUUCCGACCUUGCGCGAUUGAAUGAGCUGAUGUCGGAUUAGCUAGUUGGCGGGGUAAAGGCCCACCAAGGCGACGAUCCGUAGCUGGUCUGAGAGGAUGAUCAGCCACACUGGAACUGAGACACGGCCCAGACUCCUACGGGAGGCAGCAGUGGGGAAUAUUGGACAAUGGGCGCAAGCCUGAUCCAGCAAUGCCGCGUGCAUGAAGAAGGCCUUCGGGUUGUAAAGCCCUUUUGUACGGAACGAAAAGCAGCAGGUUAAUACCCGGCUGUAAUGACGGUACCGAAAGAAUAAGCACCGGCUAACUUCGUG